AGAGUUUGAUCCUGGCUCAGAAUGAACGCUGGCGGCGUGCUUUACACAUGCAAGUCGAGCGAGGCGGCCCGCAAGGGUCAGUCGAGCGGCGAACGGGUGAGUAAUGCGUGGAUUAUCUACCCUGAGGUGGGGGAUAACCCGGGGAAACUCGGGCUAAUACCGCAUGAUACCGUGAGGUCAAAGGGGGCUCGCAAGGGCUCUCGCCAUAGGAGGAGUCCGCGUCCGAUUAGCUAGUUGGUGGGGUAAAGGCCUACCAAGGCGACGAUCGUUAGCUGGUCUGAGAGGAUGAUCAGCCACACUGGGACUGAGACACGGCCCAGACUCCUACGGGAGGCAGCAGUGGGGAAUAUUGGACAAUGGGCGAAAGCCUGAUCCAGCAAUGCCGCGUGGGUGAAGAAGGUCUUCGGAUUGUAAAGCCCUUUCGACGGGGACGAUGAUGACGGUACCCGUAGAAGAAGCCCCGGCUAACUUCGUGCCAGCAGCCGCGGUAAUAC
rnacentral:rRNA from 1 species